UGUUAGCCCUGAAAACAAUUAAGGCUA
rnacentral:piRNA from 1 species